UUCCUCUUUUGAUUUGUAAUCAAAUUUCCAAAUUAAGAAUACUCAAUUUCUAUUUUAUUUUUCAUAGAAAUGGAAAAUGAAGCUUUCUAUUGGCAUAGAGAUAAAGUUGCUGGUUUCACCUGAGAGGAUAUGAGGCUUUUUUCCCCCUGCUGGAACCAAUAGGAAUGAGCUAAGAAAUUGACUGACAUCAUGCCAAGAAUGGAGAAAAGAGAAAAAUCAUCCCUGCCCUCAAUUAGUUUACAUUGGAGGUGAGAACAUGUACAGGGAUGAGUAAAUGCCAAGUAUAAAAUAUGU
rnacentral:lncRNA from 1 species